CAGCAGCCGCGGGAACACGUAGGGUGCAAGCGUUAAUCGGAAUUACUGGGCGUAAAGCGUGCGCAGGCGGUUCGCUAAGACAGAUGUGAAAUCCCCGGGCUUAGCCUGGGAACUGCAUUUGUGACUGGCGGGCUAGAGUAUGGCAGAGGGGGGUAGAAUUCCACGUGUAGCAGUGAAAUGCGUAGAGAUGUGGAGGAAUACCGAUGGCGAAGGCAGCCCCCUGGGCCAAUACUGACGCUCAUGCACGAAAGCGUGGGGAGCAAACAGGAUUAGAUACCCCGGUAGUCCCUGUCUCUUAUAC
rnacentral:rRNA from 1 species